rnacentral:rRNA from 1 species
ACUCAAAGAAAUUGACGGGGGUCCGCACAAGCGGUGGAACAUGUGGUUUAAUUCGACACUACGCGAGGAACCUUACCUAGGCUUGACAUGUAACUGCUACCGGCAGAGAUGUUGGGUUCUGUAGAAAUACAGACGGUUACACAGGUGCUGCAUGGCUGUCGUCAGCUCGUGUCGUGAGAUGUUGGGUUAAGUCCUUUAACGAGCGCAACCCUUGCCGCCAGUUGCAACUCCGGAAACGGAGGCACUCUGGUGGGACUGCCGAGGAAACUCGGAGGAAGGUGGGGAUGACGUCAAGUCCGCAUGGCCCUUAUGUCUAGGGCUACACACGUGUUACAAUGGCGAGGAACAAAGGGAUGCAAUACCGCGAGGUUGAGCUAAUCUCAUAAAACUCGUCUCAGUUCGGAUUGAAGUCUGCAAUUCGACUUCAUGAAGUUGAAAUCGCUAGUAAUCGCAUAUCAGAACGAUGCGGUGAAUACGUUCUCGGACCUUGUACACACCGCCCGUCACACCACGAAAGCCGUCGGCGCCCGAAAUCAUUUUAGCUAACCUGAAAGGGAGGCGGAUGAUGAAGGUGAAGAGGGUGAUUGGGGUGAAGUCGUAACAAGGUAACCAAGGGCGAA